rnacentral:rRNA from 1 species
AGGGUUUGAUCAUGGCUCAGGAUGAACGCUAGCGGCAGGCCUAAUACAUGCAAGUCGAACGGUAAGGUCUCUUCGGAGAUACACGAGUGGCGCACGGGUGCGUAACACGUAUGCAACCUACCCUUUAGAGGGGGAUAGCCUAUGGAAACGUAGAUUAAUACCCCAUACACUUCUAAAGUCGCAUGGCUUAAGAAGGAAAGCUCCGGCGCUAAAGGAUGGGCAUGCGUCCCAUUAGUUAGUUGGUGAGGUAGUGGCUCACCAAGGCAUCGAUCAGUAGCUGGUCUGAGAGGAUGAUCAGCCACACUGGGACUGAGACACGGCCCAGACUCCCACGGGAGGCAGCAGUAGGGAAUAUUGGUCAAUGGGCGAAAGCCUGAACCAGCCAUGCCGCGUGCAGGAUGAAGGCGCUCGUCGUUGUAAACUGCUUUUAUAUGGGAAGAAAGAGGCUUUGCGAAGCCAGUUGACGGUACCAUAUGAAUAAGCACCGGCUAACUCCGUGCCAGCCGCCGCGGUAAUAC